rnacentral:snoRNA from 1 species
AGGUCAUUUCAAAGAGGGGCUUGUGGAACUGAGACCCAAGAGCUCUUAACGCAGUAGCCAAAGAUUAAGAUUCUCCACGGGAUCCCCAUCGUCACUCCAUAGUGCCAUGUUUUCUCCUGUGGAGAUACACGA